CCUACGGGAGGCAGCAGUGAGGAAUAUUGGUCAAUGGACGAGAGUCUGAACCAGCCAAGUAGCGUGAAGGAUGACUGCCCUAUGGGUUGUAAACCUCUUUUGUCAGGGAGCAACGCGGGCUACGUGUAGCCGGACGGAGAGUACCUGAAGAAAAAGCAUCGGCUAACUCCGUGCCAGCAGCCGCGGUAAUACGGAGGAUGCGAGCGUAAUCCGGAUUUAUGGGUUUUAAGGGGUGCGUAGGCGGAAUGCCAAGUCAGCGGUAACAUCGCGGGGCUCAACCUCGCUCCGCCGUUGAAACUGGCGUUCUUGAGUGGGCGUGAAGUAUGCGGAUUGCGUGGUGUAGCGGUGAAAUUCAUAGCUAUCACGCAGAACUCCGAUUGCGCAGGCAGCAUACCGGCGCCCAACUGACGCUGAUGCACGAAAGCGUGGGUAUCGAACAGGAUUAGAUACCCGGGUAGUC
rnacentral:rRNA from 1 species